rnacentral:lncRNA from 1 species
AAUUUCAACGUAUUUGAAGAAUGAUCUAGCAGAAGAAGAGUAAACAAAAAUCCCAUAUAACUAGGUGAACAACUGCUGGGAGUCAGGCUACUAAACCCCAAAAUAGUUUUCGUUGUCCCACAAGCAAAUGUAAUUAAAGAAAAAUUAUGACUAUAAAUAAUCACCCCCAAAUCCAGAGCCUAACUAAACAGCUGCAGAACAGGUCAAACUUGAUUAAUACAGCUGUGAUAUGAGUCAGCAGGUACUGUUGAUGAUGAUUACUCGUUACACUAAUUAC